AGCAGGUGUUCAGUAAAUUUUAAUUAAUUAAAAGUCCCAACACUUAAAGGGACAACUUUACAAACUGGAACUCAGACGAGAGCAAAUAGGACUAUGAAAAUAUUAAUGGGAUAAGGGAUAGAUUUAAAACAAAAUAUCCAAUUUGAAGAAGAAAAUACUACUGGGGAACUAAUUUACCAUCUUCCAAUAGUCAAUGGGCUAUCUUGGGAAAGAUGAGAAAUGAGAAGCUAUGGAGAAUGACUUCAGAUUACUAGAAACAGCAUUUUUCAGGGGAAAGAAGUCAGCAUCCCAUCUCUAAUAAGGGCUAUCUCCUGGCAGAAGAUUGAAGGGAAGAGAAAAUCAGCAAGGGAUGGAGCUUGACCCAUGACUUCUAAGUCUAAGGAGCCUUGGCCACCUUGGAAUAGGAUAUUUGGUGGCACUUUGGUUGGAGGAAACCUCGAAGGCCACCCACCUACUACCAACUGCAAGUUGAAGAGCUUUGGGAGUAGUUUGUCCAGAAGGUCCACUGCGCCUAGAACCUUCUGGGAGGUCGAGCACCCGAAAAGAGAAAAGAAACGGAAGUUUAAGAGGUUAAGAGACUUGCCCAAGUUCACUCAACACGUCAGACUCCUGUUGAUUCAACAUGUGGACAAGGAACCAGCCACAUGGGAUGGACAGCGUUGUCAUAGAAAGUGGUAGAUGCCAUUUGCCUGUCUUCAACUGGUUAAUAUCCAUUUGCCAAGACAAACUUUCCAGGGGACCUUAUAGACCUAAAGAUCAC
ensembl:lncRNA